GGCGUCGCUAGUACCG
rnacentral:misc_RNA from 1 species